GGCAUGACAUCACAAAGCUGUCCUUGUUUGAAGACACUUGGGAAUUUCAGGUGUUGCCGUAAGUCUACUGAGCUCUCUGGGUGUCUAACCUUGCCUUCUUGUCAUCAGCUAUUAAAACUACUAAAACAGAAGAAUGCUUAACCACUACAGCUGUUAAAACAUUAGUACGUGCUUUGUCUCAUGAGGCCAACACAGUACUUCAAAACCAAACACUUAGGAAUUUCUUCUCAACCAUCAUUGCUGCAGCCCCAGGGAAAAUCAAGACAGCUGUGAGUGGUCAUGGAAGCUCACAGAUCAUAAAUUUGCACUUCGGGUUUCAGGAUCGAGAACAUCCUGGAAAUAAGAGCGGAAGCAGAAAAGCCAGCAGAGCAGGCCAUCACAAUAGACGUGGCGUGAGAUGUCAUGGAACUGGAGCAGUUAAACCUCAUUCUCCAGGGUACUGGUGCUACUGCCAAGAGCGGAAAACUUUCAUCUUCCAAAACCUCAAUCAGCCAGUUUCUCAUCUGCAUCCCAUAAAUCAUCAAGAAAGAACAAGCUCAUUAUCUCAGCACCAGGGACAAAAGUCUUUUACAUGACACUGAACUUCUGACUACUGCAAAACAUGGCAGCUUGCCAUCAUAUGUUUAACAGGUGUGUUGGUCCCUUUAACAGACUGGGCCAGAAGUUUGAGGAUAUGGUCUGAAAUUUCAAUUUUGUUACGUGUUGUGACUUGCACUGGGCCCAAAUCCAGAGGUAAUUGGGCCUAGUGGUCUGAAGAGUUACUUGGGUGUUCUGUAAUUUUAGUAGAUUUGGAGAAAGAGAGGUGGGGAUGUCUGUCCCUGAAGAUAUUUUCUCAUAGAAGCAAGGAAUUACAGGAACUUCUCUGUUGUGUUUUGGGUAAGUGUUUCCAUGCUGCUACUCUGAAUAAUAGGGUAGAUAUUUCCAGGUACAGGCUGUUAAAAUUUGCUAUAUUACCUCCAUUCUGUAUGUAGUUCCUUCUCUACAUAACAGUGUUGGUUAGGUAGUGGAACCUUCUAAAUGACGCACUAUGUGAUUCCUGUGUCAUAUAGAAUGUUCUAUGAUUCUUAGCCAGAUAAUCAUAUUCCCAGAAAAGGCCUCUCAACUUUCACCUGCCUUUCUAAGGACUGAAAUACUCUGAGUGUUGCAUAAAGGGUGUUCCAAAUAUGGGCAUUCACCUGUUUCCUGAUUAAAAAAAGAUAAUUUGGUAUGAAUAAAAAAAAAGGGACGCUUUGUAAUGGGUUUGGUAAAUCUUUCCUGUAACAGGUUAGAUAAUAAAUAUUUUAGGCUUUUGGGAUAUGUAAUCUUUAUUUUAACUACUCAAAUGGGCAGCAAAGCAAAAGCAGUAUGUAAAUGAAUGAGUAUUGCUGUGUUCCAAUAAACUUUAUGGACUCUGAAA
ensembl:lncRNA novel transcript